UCAGGACGAACGCUGGCGGCGUGCUUAACACAUGCAAGUCGAACGAUGAAGACUGGUGCUUGCACUGGUUGGAUUAGUGGCGAACGGGUGAGUAAUACGUGAGUAACCUGCCUUUGACUCUGGGAUAAGCCUGGGAAACUGGGUCUAAUACCGGAUAUGACAAGGAACCGCAUGGUUUUUUGUGGAAAGGGUUUGUACUGGUUUUAGAUGGGCUCACGGCCUAUCAGCUUGUUGGUGGGGUAAUGGCUCACCAAGGCGACGACGGGUAGCCGGCCUGAGAGGGUGACCGGCCACACUGGGACUGAGACACGGCCCAGACUCCUACGGGAGGCAGCAGUGGGGAAUAUUGCACAAUGGGCGCAAGCCUGAUGCAGCGACGCCGCGUGAGGGAUGACGGCCUUCGGGUUGUAAACCUCUUUCAGCAGGGAAGAAGCGAAAGUGACGGUACCUGCAGAAGAAGCGCCGGCUAACUACGUGCCAGCAGCCGCGGUAAUACGUAGGGCGCGAGCGUUGUCCGGAAUUAUUGGGCGUAAAGAGCUUGUAGGCGGUUUGUUGCGUCUGCUGUGAAAGACCGGGGCUUAACUCCGGUAUUGCAGUGGGUACGGGCAGACUAGAGUGCAGUAGGGGAGACUGGAAUUCCUGGUGUAGCGGUGAAAUGCGCAGAUAUCAGGAGGAACACCGAUGGCGAAGGCAGGUCUCUGGGCUGUAACUG
rnacentral:rRNA from 1 species